UGCUAGUUUCGGUUCAGAUGCUCAGCGCCCUUAGCUAAUUAUCGAUGAUUUAGGCAUGAGAUAAUGAAAGAGAAGAAUCCAACUGUUGCUGCUUCUACUUCAAUUUUCAAGAAAGUAUUGUUGAAUUGUUCAGCUCAGGCGAAAGUGUAUGGCAGUUGUGUUGCAGCGAAGGUUCCAGAAGUAGAACGUGAUAUGUGUUUAAAAGAAUUCCUUGAAUUGAGCAAUUGCAUGAAAAGCAUGAUAAGAAGAAAGGCUUGAAUAGUAUAUAUACGCAAGUUAAGAGUGAUAAGCAGCUGUUGUUGAAGUUAAAUCAAGCAUGAAAAAGUCUGUAGUUCUACAUAGGGGGAAGUGAAACAUGUCAGCACAAGCAUCUUCAUCUCAGCCUUCUGGUUUUGGUAGUUCUGGUGCUCUAUCACAUGUGUAUAUUCAGUAUCCACCUUUAAGAUGCACAAUCUCUGGAGCAAGAAAUAUUUUCUAUGAUGAUGGCACGAAACAGCUUAUUGUUCCCACAUCUGAUCAGGUUUUCUGUUGGAAAACAACUCCAUUUAAUCCAAAUGUGACUCCAUCCUCUGAUCAAAUAGGCGAAGGUCCAGUUUUG
rnacentral:misc_RNA from 1 species